GCGGACAUUGGCCACCUCCCACUGUUCUCCAUGUGGCCACUACCCCUCUUCAGGCGCUAUGUCUCCUCUGGACUCUACCACAGCCUCCUUGCAGCCUCUCCACCUCUACCUCCACAGAGAUCUUAAUAAAAUAAAGGUCAUCAUCACCACAGCUGGAGCAAGGAGGCAAGAAUCCAUGAGGAGGAAACUGGAAUUCUUUUCCUCAUUGCAUAGCUGAAGAGACUGCAGCCCGGGAAGGGAAGCAAUGGUGCCACAGCCAAUCAGUGGAGGGUCAAGAAUUGAAGCAAGUCCCCAGGUCUCGAAUCCACAGCCCUUUCUAGUUAGCCCAAUGGGGAAGGCCCUCAUGAUGGAACUGCCAGCCCCUUUGAAAAGCUUCACAUAGGUGUUUUGCCAGUUCUUGUCCCCAGAGGCAUCUUGUCUAUGCAGUCCUGCAAAAAAAGAGGCCAGCUUUUCUGUCCUCUGACAGGGGCUAAUGGAGUGUAACAGGCAUGUGCAUGAACUCGGGGGCCAAGUCACUAAGAUUUGAAUCCCAGCUCUGCCACUGGGCAUCUUUGACAAGUACAGA